UACAGAGGUGGCAAGCGUUGUUCGGAAUUACUGGGCGUAAAGGGCGCGUAGGCGGCCUUCUAAGUCAGACGUGAAAUCCCCCGGCUUAACCUGGGAACUGCGUCUGAUACUGGGAGGCUCGAGUAUGGGAGAGGGAUGUAGAAUUCCACGUGUAGCAGUGAAAUGCGUAGAGAUGUGGAGGAACACCGAUGGCGAAGGCAGCCCCCUGGGUCAAGACUGACGCUCAUGCACGAAAGCGUGGGGAGCAAACAGG
rnacentral:rRNA from 1 species